rnacentral:snoRNA from 1 species
CACCGGAAUGAUAACUGGAUGGCUUGUCGUUGAAUCACUAUUCUACAUAAUUUUGAUUUGUUAUCUUAUCGCUGGCUGUCUUUUAGUUUUCCGGAAGAUCAAAAUGAGGCGAGUGGAUAACUAGUGGCUAAUGUGUCUUUUAGCAUGUUAGCUUCAUCUGCUCCCUUGAACAUUU